GAAAUAUGAAGAUCAAUGCAAAAAUGGCGACUCCGAUUGAGGAAAAAGUGGAUCAGAAUUUGAAGAUUCGAACCGGGAUGGUGACAGUCAGCGAUGGCAAAAGCAAACCCGAACCACUGAGACUGAAUUUGACGAUGGAACUAUUGACGUUGCAGAAAUUGGAAAUUGUCACGCCUACGAAUCCAAUGUUUAAUGGGCCGCCCACAGAAUCUAAGG